rnacentral:rRNA from 1 species
UGCAUGUCUAAGUAUAAGCAAUUUAUACAGUGAAACUGCGAAUGGCUCAUUAAAUCAGUUAUCGUUUAUUUGAUAGUACCUUACUACUUGGAUAACCGUGGUAAUUCUAGAGCUAAUACAUGCUUAAAAUCCCGACUGUUUGGAAGGGAUGUAUUUAUUAGAUAAAAAAUCAAUGUCUUCGGACUCUUUGAUGAUUCAUAAUAACUUUUCGAAUCGCAUGGCCUUGUGCUGGCGAUGGUUCAUUCAAAUUUCUGCCCUAUCAACUUUCGAUGGUAGGAUAGUGGCCUACCAUGGUUUCAACGGGUAACGGGGAAUAAGGGUUCGAUUCCGGAGAGGGAGCCUGAGAAACGGCUACCACAUCCAAGGAAGGCAGCAGGCGCGCAAAUUACCCAAUCCCGACACGGGGAGGUAGUGACAAUAAAUAACGAUACAGGGCCCUUUCGGGUCUUGUAAUUGGAAUGAGUACAAUGUAAAUACCUUAACGAGGAACAAUUGGAGGGCAAGUCUGGUGCCAGCAGCCGCGGUAAUUCCAGCUCCAAAAGCGUAUAUUAAAGUUGUUGCAGUUAAAAAGCUCGUAGUUGAACCUUGGGCUUGGUUGGCCGGUCCAUCUUUCUGAUGCGUACUGGACCCAACCGAGCCUUUCCUUCUGGCUAGCCUUUUGGCGAACCAGGACUUUUACUUUGAAAAAAUUAGAGUGUUCAAAGCAGGCCUUUGCUCGAAUAUAUUAGCAUGGA